UCUCACAACCCUAUGGGCCUUCAUGGCUUCUUACAGGGGUAGCUUUACUUACUUUACUUACAUUCUUUGGAUUCUAGUUUUAAUUUAGUUGUUUGUUGUCUCUGUUCCAAAGUCUUUUAUAUGUUUUUUAUCUCUUUCAGGUAGUUGGCUUAUAGCUGCAUCUCUUUCAAUUGCUAGGGUCUUUAUACAGUCUUUUUGUUUGUAGUGUAGGUUGUAUUUCAAUCCUUUGUUCAAGAGUUGCAUUUCCGCAUCCAUAAAGAUAACAUUAGUUUAUAGAAAGUAUUUUCCUUUUGAUUGUUAUUUGUUUGUGUGGGGGUUGUAUGCCUAUUUAGUUUUUUAUUUUGUUUUUAUGGCUCUAUAUUUUCCCCUCAUCGUCCAUUUUCUUUGAGAUGUUUUGGUUUAUUAUGUCCUGUAGGAUACCCCAUUUGUUUGCAUUUUGAAGAUGUAAGGUGUAAAGGCCCUUAUUUAAAUUUUGUUUUUUGGUAUACCAAAUUUUAUUUCAUUCUUUAUACAUAACUUUUGUAUUUUGAUUUCAUGUGUUUUAUUAUGUGUUUGUUUUUAUGCUUGCAUAUUUUGGUAUUAAAUCCUAUAUUUGAUCAAGUAAUAAGACAUCCCCACCAUAAAAACAUGUAUCCAAAUAAAGCCCCCACACAUACCCCCUCUUGUACAUCACAUGACCAAAACAACAUACUCACUAUGACAUUAAACAUCUGUUCAUCCUAACAGAAUCAUACAACAGGAACAGACACAAUAUCCAAGAGUGGAAAGAAGUGAUAUCUCCACACAAGACACAACAUAUGAAACACACCAAAAACAUAAUAAUUCCACCACAGCUAGUCAUGACAUCACAGAAAGGAAUAAAGAGAAUGUACAUAUAGAACUUCUAGUAUCGCUUUCACAAGAGUAACGUAACCACCCACAUAACGUAUAUGUAACGGACUGAACGCCAACUCCCAAGAUACAAAACACCCACCUACCCUCCACACUAUGACAAAUCAUCAUGGGCC